UGCCCUGCCAAGGUGUUUUAUGUGGACUAAUACUGUACUUAGGAGGGUUGUUUUUCACAAAUACCCUUUCAAAGAGGUUGUUUACUUUCAGCUCUUGGAGGUUUCACGAGACAUCUGAUGAUUGAUGAACAGAGCAGUCAUGGGAUCCAGUUGGAGCUUCAGCCACUAAACCCAACAGCUGGAUCACAGUAAAGGAUUUGAAUCAAAGCCAUCAAGAUUGAGUCAUGGAAAAUACACAUGGCAUGUAAUAAAGGAGGCCAUAAGUGGAGAGAAGCAAAAAAGAAGAAACAUCAGAGGAAUGCUGAGAUGGUUGUUUUCAUCAAAUAGAUUAUCUCGAGCCAAAUUGAAAGCAGUCUGGCAGACUCUAAAAUAGGACACUAGCAAGAAUAUUUGGUGACUAUGAGUAAAAAUGUAAACAUCAGUCUUCAGCAGUCUCCAGCAUUUUAUAAUCGCUGUUUAGAACUUCUAGGAGUGCAUAUAUAGAAACUAACUCCAAUUACCCUCUCACAUCUCCCUACAGUCAGUAGAGCUUUCCAAUAGAAUGAAGAAAUUUAGCAUAAUCCUUGUGAGUUUAGCUGGAGACACAGGAACAUGAAGUUCCUAUUACGGACAUCUAGACUGGGUGCCCAAA